GACGAACGCUGGCGGCGUGCCUAAUACAUGCAAGUCGAACGAGAGCGACCGGUGCUUGCACUGGUCAAUCUAGUGGCGAACGGGUGAGUAACACGUGGGUAACCUGCCCAUCAGAGGGGGAUAACAUCCGGAAACGGAUGCUAAAACCGCAUAGGUCUUCGAGCCGCAUGGCUUGAAGAGGAAAAGAGGCGCAAGCUUCUGCUGAUGGAUGGACCCGCGGUGCAUUAGCUAGUUGGUGAGGUAACGGCUCACCAAGGCCGUGAUGCAUAGCCGACCUUAGAGGGUGAUCGGCCACAUUGGGACUGAGACACGGCCCAAACUCCUACGGGAGGCAGCAGUAGGGAAUCUUCCGCAAUGGACGCAAGUCUGACGGAGCAACGCCGCGUGAGUGAAGAAGGUUUUCGGAUCGUAAAACUCUGUUGUUAGAGAAGAACAAGUGCUAGAGUAACUGUUAGCGCCUUGACGGUAGCUAACCAGAAAGCCACGGCUAACUACGUG
rnacentral:rRNA from 1 species